GAUGGGCUCGCGGCCUAUCAGCUUGUUGGUGAGGUAAUGGCUCACCAAGGCGUCGACGGGUAGCCGGCCUGAGAGGGUGACCGGCCACACUGGGACUGAGACACGGCCCAGACUCCUACGGGAGGCAGCAGUGGGGAAUAUUGCACAAUGGGCGAAAGCCUGAUGCAGCAACGCCGCGUGAGGGAUGACGGCCUUCGGGUUGUAAACCUCUUUUAGCAGGGAAGAAGCGAAAGUGACGGUACCUGCAGAAAAAGCGCCGGCUAACUACGUGCCAGCAGCCGCGGUAAUACGUAGGGCGCAAGCGUUAUCCGGAAUUAUUGGGCGUAAGGAGCUCGUAGGCGGUUUGUCGCGUCUGCUGUGAAAUCCCGAGGCUCAACCUCGGGCCUGCAGUGGGUACGGGCAGACUAGAGUGCGGUAGGGGAGAUUGGAAUUCCUGGUGUAGCGGUGGAAUGCGCAGAUAUCAGGAGGAACACCGAUGGCGAAGGCAGAUCUCUGGGCCGUAACUGACGCUGAGGAGCGAAAGGGUGGGGAGCAAACAGGCUUAGAUACCCUGGUAGUCCACCCC
rnacentral:rRNA from 1 species